rnacentral:rRNA from 1 species
UGGGGAAUAUUGGACAAUGGGCGAAAGCCUGAUCCAGCCAUGCCGCGUGUGUGAAGAAGGCCUUUUGGUUGUAAAGCACUUUAAGCGAGGAGGAGGCUACUUAGAUUAAUACUCUAGGAUAGUGGACGUUACUCGCAGAAUAAGCACCGGCUAACUCUGUGCCAGCAGCCGCGGUAAUACAGAGGGUGCGAGCGUUAAUCGGAUUUACUGGGUGUAAAGCGUGCGUAGGCGGCUUUUUAAGUCGGAUGUGAAAUCCCUGAGCUUAACUUAGGAAUUGCAUUCGAUACUGGGAAGCUAGAGUAUGGGAGAGGAUGGUAGAAUUCCAGGUGUAGCGGUGAAAUGCGUAGAGAUCUGGAGGAAUACCGAUGGCGAAGGCAGCCAUCUGGCCUAAUACUGACGCUGAGGUACGAAAGCAUGGGGAGCAAACAGG